AUUGAACGCUGGCGGCAGGCCUAACACAUGCAAGUCGAACGAGUGGCGGACGGGUGAGAAAUGUCUGGGACACUGCCUGAAGGAGGGGGAUAACUACUGAAAACGGUAGCUAAUACCGCAUACCAUCGGAUGUGCCCAGAUGUGAUUAGCUAGUAGGUGGGUUAACGGCUCACCAAGGCGACGAGCCCUAGCUGGUCUGAGAGGAUGACCAGCCACACUGGAACUGAGACACGGUCCAGACUCCUACGGGAGGCAGCAGUGGGGAAUAUUGCGCAAUGGGCGCAAGCCUGAUGCAGCCAUGCCGCGUGUGUGAAGAAGGCUUUCGGGUUGUAAAGCACUGUCAGCGGGGAGGCGUUACCCGCAGAAGAAGCACCGGCUAACUCCGUGCCAGCAGCCGCGGUAAUAC
rnacentral:rRNA from 1 species